GGGCCAGACUCCUACGGGAGGCAGCAGUGAGGAAUAUUGGUCAAUGGCCGCAGGGCUGAACCAGCCAAGUCGCGUGAGGGAUGACGGUCCUAUGGAUUGUAAACCUCUUUUGUCAGGGAGCAAAGGCGUCCACGUGUGGACGAGAGGAGAGUACCUGAAGAAAAAGCAUCGGCUAACUCCGUGCCAGCAGCCGCGGUAAUACGGAGGAUGCGAGCGUUAUCCGGAUUUAUUGGGUUUAAAGGGUGCGUAGGCGGAGUGUCAAGUCAGCGGUAAAAUUUCGGGGCUCAACCCCGUCGUGCCGUUGAAACUGACGCCCUUGAGUGAGUGAGAAGUAAGCGGAAUGCGUGGUGUAGCGGUGAAAUGCAUAGAUAUCACGCAGAACUCCGAUUGCGAAGGCAGCAUACCGGCGCGCAACUGACGCUCAUGCACGAAAGCGUGGGUAUCGAACAGGAUUAGAUACCCUGGUA
rnacentral:rRNA from 1 species